AGUGUCAUUCUAUUAAUAAAAAAAUAAAGUAAUAUUAAUUUCUGAGUGCUAUUGAGCAUACCCCCGCUAAUGUAACCGAUAAUGAUACUGCUGGCUGGACCCCGAACCCACCUCCCCUAGGGACACAUCCCUGGGAAGAUGUAUGUUUUUGCAGCAAAUUAAAUUCGUCUUUCAACGCGUCUCACAGGAUUCCAGGACUCGCAACUAGUGAAGCUCCUGCCCCCGAGAAAAACCAGCUGAUGCUGGCGGAAAAGUAAUCGCCAUAGUGGAUGGAGUGCCUGUUAAUUAGCCGUCGGGCUGUGGAGGGAAAAUGGUGGAAGCACCCCGGAAUUCUGCCGGGAAAUUAUUAUUAUUUAUGCGUAUUCAGAAGGCGUCGCGCAUUGCAAACCUCCGGCACAGAGGUGGAAAUCCUUCAGUUGGCAAAACAAAGGACUAACCUCAACGCAUUCAAUAUUCUAAAAUAUUCAACAGCCAAAUCACUUAGUUGGCUAUCUGCUGAUGGCCCUGCUCCUAGUUGGCUAAUGAAAGUGAAAGCCAAAUGCCACGAACGCUUAACCGCAGCCCAGCGGUGUCUGUCACUCUCUCUCCCUCUUUC